AUUGAACGCUGGCGGCAUGCCUUACACAUGCAAGUCGAACGGCAGCGGGGGAGAAGCUUGCUUUUCCUGCCGGCGAGUGGCGAACGGGUGAGUAAUACAUCGGAACGUGCCCUGUAGUGAGGGAUAACUAGUCGAAAGAUUAGCUAAUACCGCAUACGACCUGAGGGUGAAAGUGGGGGACCGCAAGGCCUCAUGCUAUAGGGGCGGCCGAUGUCUGAUUAGCUAGUUGGUGGGGUAAAGGCCUACCAAGGCGACGAUCAGUAGCUGGUCUGAGAGGACGAUCAGCCACACUGGGACUGAGACACGGCCCAGACUCCUACGGGAGGCAGCAGUGGGGAAUUUUGGACAAUGGGCGAAAGCCUGAUCCAGCAAUGCCGCGUGUGUGAAGAAGGCCUUCGGGUUGUAAAGCACUUUUGUCCGGAAAGAAAUGGCUCUGGUUAAUACCUGGGGUCGAUGACGGUACCGGAAGAAUAAGGACCGGCUAACUACGUGCCAGCCGCCGCGGUAA
rnacentral:rRNA from 1 species